CCGGCGCACGGGUGAGUAACGCGUAUGCAACUUGCCUAUCAGAGGGGGAUAACCCGGCGAAAGUCGGACUAAUACCGCAUGAAGCAGGGGCCCCGCAUGGGGAUAUUUGCUAAAGAUUCAUCGCUGAUAGAUAGGCAUGCGUUCCAUUAGGCAGUUGGCGGGGUAACGGCCCACCAAACCGACGAUGGAUAGGGGUUCUGAGAGGAAGGUCCCCCACAUUGGUACUGAGACACGGACCAA
rnacentral:rRNA from 1 species